rnacentral:misc_RNA from 1 species
GAUGAAGAACGUAGCGAAAUGCGAUAAGUAAUGUGAAUUGCAGAAUUCAGUGAAUCAUCGAAUCUUUGAACGCACAUUGCGCCCGCCAGUAUUCUGGCGGGCAUGCCUGUUCGAGCGUCAUUACAACCCUCAGGCCCCCGGGCCUGGCGUUGGGGAUCGGCGGAGCCCCCCGUGGGCACACGCCGUCCCCCAAAUACAGUGGCGGUCCCGCCGCAGCUUCCAUCGCGUAGUAGCUAACACCUCGCGACUGGAGAGCGGCGCGGCCAAGCCGUAAAACACCCAACUCUUCUGAAGUUGACCUCGAAUCAGGUAGGAAUACCCGCUGAACUUAAGCAUAUCAAUAAGCGGAGGA